AGUGAACGCUGGCGGUAGGCCUAACACAUGCCAGUCGAACGGCAGCACAGUAAGAGCUUGCUCUUACGGGUGGCGAGUGGCGGACGGGUGAGGAAUACAUCGGAAUCUACUUUUUCGUGGGGGAUAACGUAGGGAAACUUACGCUAAUACCGCAUACGACCUACGGGUGAAAGCAGGGGAUCUUCGGACCUUGCGCGAUUGAAUGAGCCGAUGUCGGAUUAGCUAGUUGGCGGGGUAAAGGCCCACCAAGGCGACGAUCCGUAGCUGGUCUGAGAGGAUGAUCAGCCACACUGGAACUGAGACACGGUCCAGACUCCUACGGGAGGCAGCAGUGGGGAAUAUUGGACAAUGGGCGCAAGCCUGAUCCAGCCAUACCGCGUGGGUGAAGAAGGCCUUCGGGUUGUAAAGCCCUUUUGUUGGGAAAGAAAAGCAGCGGGUUAAUACCCCGCUGUUCUGACGGUACCCAAAGAAUAAGCACCGGCUAACUUCGUG
rnacentral:rRNA from 1 species